CGAACAGACGAGGAGCUUGCUCCUCUGACGUUAGCGGCGGACGGGUGAGUAACACGUGGAUAACCUACCUAUAAGACUGGGAUAACUUCGGGAAACCGGAGCUAAUACCGGAUAAUAUAUUGAACCGCAUGGUUCAAUAGUGAAAGACGGUUUUGCUGUCACUUAUAGAUGGAUCCGCGCCGCAUUAGCUAGUUGGUAAGGUAACGGCUUACCAAGGCAACGAUGCGUAGCCGACCUGAGAGGGUGAUCGGCCACACUGGAACUGAGACACGGUCCAGACUCCUACGGGAGGCAGCAGUAGGGAAUCUUCCGCAAUGGGCGAAAGCCUGACGGAGCAACGCCGCGUGAGUGAUGAAGGUCUUCGGAUCGUAAAACUCUGUUAUUAGGGAAGAACAAAUGUGUAAGUAACUAUGCACGUCUUGACGGUACCUAAUCAGAAAGCCACGGCUAACUACGUGCCAGCAGCCGCGGUAAUACGUAGGUGGCAAGCGUUAUCCGGAAUUAUUGGGCGUAAAGCGCGCGUAGGCGGUUUUUUAAGUCUGAUGUGAAAGCCCACGGCUCAACCGUGGAGGGUCAUUGGAAACUGGAAAACUUGAGUGCAGAAGAGGAAAGUGGAAUUCCAUGUGUAGCGGUGAAAUGCGCAGAGAUAUGGAGGAACACCAGUGGCGAAGGCGACUUUCUGGUCUGUAACUGACGCUGAUGUGCGAAAGCGUGGGGAUCAAACAGGAU
rnacentral:rRNA from 1 species